rnacentral:rRNA from 1 species
GUAGGGUGCGAGCGUUGUCCGGAAUUAUUGGGCGUAAAGAGCUCGUAGGCGGUUUGUCGCGUCGACUGUGAAAACUGGGGGCUUAACUCUCAGCUUGCAGUCGAUACGGGCAGACUUGAGUUCGGUAGGGGAGACUGGAAUUCCUGGUGUAGCGGUGAAAUGCGCAGAUAUCAGGAGGAACACCGGUGGCGAAGGCGGGUCUCUGGGCCGAUACUGACGCUGAGGAGCGAAAGCGUGGGGAGCGAACAGGAUUAGAUACCCUGGUAGUCCACGCUGUAAACGUUGGGCGCUAGGUGUGGGGAGCAUUCAUGUUUUCCGUGCCGUAGCUAACGCAUUAAGCGCCCCGCCUGGGGAGUACGGCCGCAAGGCUAAA